rnacentral:lncRNA from 1 species
UCCCCCCCCACCCCCACCCACCCACGUGUACACAUUGAGAUAAUUAUUUGUUCUUGCUCUGUUUCUCUGUUCAGUGCUGGACAGAACAGAGGAACUGAGGGGAGAUCGGUGACUUUUUGAUCUGCCUCUCUUAUACGUCUCUGAGCUUUGCCUUUUCUUAGCCGGACGACUUGUAGAAUAUAAUAUGGUUUUUAUCUAUUUUUUUAAUGUGUGUAAAUAACCAAAGGAGUAUUGAGAAUAAGCAAAUGACAAAACGUUGUUGUUUAUCCCCCCCCCCUCCCCAAGUGUUCAUUCCUGCCAUCUCUCUUCCUUGUCAUGUGGGCAUCACUGUGAUAAGGAGAAGACGGAACACAGCAAUGACUGUUUCUGUCCAGGAAGUCUAAUCUCUAUUGUGUGUUUUUGUUUUUUUAAAAUAUUGUCUCUCAGAGUUUAUCGCACUGAGAGAUGGGAGGCAGAGCUGGCUGGUCACUAUCAGCUUGACCUCUGACCUCCCAAGAUGACCGAAGGCUAAGUCCGUUGUUGCCAUUGUUUGUCUGGUGUCUUUUUUUUUUUUCCUCUUUUAAAAAAAUUUCGUAUGUGUUGAGCUACCGGUUCUUUGUAUUUUGGAAAUGGAAAGUGUGGAAGCUUUACGAGUACUGAGUACUUUGGUGGUCGAUAGCUGUCUCAAAUUUUCCCCCAUCUCUGAUAUUGUUGGCCUCGGGGGUGUCGUUAGCAGUUUGAGAAACUUUUUGGAAAAGUUGUCCUUUGUUCUAUCGAGACGUUGGUGUCUGUCUCUGUCCCGUGUUGGUGUGCUCUUCACACUUGCCGGUGGCGGUCCAGUAGUAAUUUGUCUCUGAAGGAGAAGAAGUAGCCGAAUAGCUGGCCGCAGUUGAGCGUCAUGCGUUGUAUUAAAGAGUUUUGGAGGAAUUUUGUAGCAGUUGUACGUCCCUUGUUGAAAAUGUUGCUGCCCCUCUGGUUCGGGAGAGAGCACACUUGUACUUGGCUUGCCAACUGUCAUGAAUUUCCCCAGGACUGUCCUGGAUUGAGCGCAAUCCAGAAUUUGAAAGCUUUGUCCACAUACUCUUGUGCCAAAACUGACAAGGCUGUUGUUAUCAUGUUGGGUGUCCCUGACUGGGUUUUGAGAAAGUUGGCAAGCCUGCUUGUAAUUAUUGCUUCUGUCAUGGUAGGUUCUACGUACAAGAUUCAAAAGAGAAAAGAAUUGAUUGCAUGGAGAAAUUGAUGAUUGAUUGUCGGAGGCCUGGUCACUUCUGUUUGACCUUAGUAGCCGUCUAUGCCAUUUAGUGCCGUAAAACUUACAAAAACAAUGAAACAAGUCCUUGCCGUUGCCUCCAGUAGCAGAGGAGCACUUGGCUCCGGCUUUUUGGUCAGCCUGAUAGAAGCAUUUAUAUGACAAAGUUAUCUUGUGUUCACCUCAGAACUGGGCAGUUGUGCUGCAAGGUUUUUUUAAAUGUAAUUUUAAAAAAGAUGUUCUCAGACUUCUCCCUUUGUACAGAAAAUCCUUCGUAAAGAGUUGGUCUUGGUGAUUCGCCCAUGAUUAUGAAAGAAUACCAAAGAUACAUUGAAGCUCUGUAAUGAAACUGGAGCUUUCAUAUAUUCAUAAAAGCUAUACUACCUUGGCUUCUGAAUCAAUGAUUUCAUCAUGGGAAAGUUGGGUUGUGCAAACUAUUCUGUGUGCCUACUGUGUACUGGUCAAGACAGUAAGAUAUCACUGUUGACUUGAGACAAGUUUCGUAGGAAAAUAAAUAAAAAAUAAAGUUGUAUCAGGUGACCCAAAGAUGUUACAAAAUCAGUGUGCGUGCAUGGAGGCUGUCUUUGUUAUUUGGAGUAUUAGAUUUGGCCUUUUGCAGUGAGGUUGGAGUGAGAGUAAAUGUGUAGUUGUGUAUUCUAGUCAUUGCUCAGGUUGCCCGGCAGUCUUGUGCUGUUGGAGAGAGGAGAGUAGACAUAUUGCUCAAGGUGGUGGGCAGGUUGAUUUUAUUUUUUUUUUGGUCCUCGGACAAUUAUGUGUCAGGACACUGGUGUUAUCAGGCUCUCGUCAACUUUCGGGCUCAUAUUAUGGUGUUGUCGGUAUUGCCUUAAAGCCAGUCUUGGUUUUGAUGAAGGAGGCCCCCCUCCAUCUUGAAUAGAUGUCGAGAUGUUUGCAACCAAAGGAGGUUGUGGUUCAUAUAUUGUCAGGUGAAAUUAGCGAGACAGUGGCUGCCAAAGUUUGGUGACUUCCAAAAAUUGAGUUGAGUGUUCUUAAAAAUGUAGUUUUUUGUUCCUCUGAUUAUUUUUCAUAAACAUUUACACACAAAUGUAUUUUAGAUGAAAAUUGAAAUAAAAGAUGUUGAGAAAAAAAAUAUGAAUGAAUUCUAUAAAAAAUGGCCAGCAGUCUGACAAAAUGUCUGGGUUUUUUAAUUUCACGAUUUUGACGAGAGCCUGAUUUCACCACAUUGACACACACGUGUAUGGCAAGCAAUGGCUCUAUAUCGCCAUGGCCCAGUGAGUGAGUUUGUUACAGAAAUUUUACCCAGGUGUCCAUUGUGUGCCUUUGACGGCAUGCUUGUUUCUUAUUGCCGACGCAGGUUGUCAUGUCGUGCUCUAUUGAAGACGGCGUGAACAUGUACUGGUACUCAAUGGUUGUUGAGAUAGGUGAGAUGUCAUAAUAAAGUUUUGCAUUCAAGUCAGCACUUUCAAAAAAAAAAAGUUCCCCCCUCCAUCAACAGCAUUGCUUUCCACUGGUGUUGACUGCUGAGCUCAGUUCUGGUCCAAGGCAGCCCAAAGUUUUGUUCUGAAUGAGUGGAUGGGACAGGAGAUAGGCCUAGGGACCUAUAUAUAUAUAUAUAUAACUUUUGUUUUUUCGUUUCGAUGUCAGAAAAGUGGAGUAGUUAUGAACGCAAGGAUAUUUUUUUUAUUACUACUAAUAAUAUUGUUAGGGCAGUGUUCUGUUAUUCUUUGACAUGUCCAGAGAAUGAUGGAAUAUUUUUUUUCUGCCGUGAGUCGAUGAGUUGUGUGUCUAUUUGAUUUUUUUGGUUGUUUCAUUAUGUUUUCUUGAUAUCUCCACAAGUCUUUCAACGUUGUCUUGGAGCAUGUCCAAGAUGCGUCUCAUUCUUCCGUUCAUGAUUCUCCCCCGCACCCAACGCCCAAUCUCCACCUCCUUCAUGACCUUCCCCCAAUCCCCCCUACACCCCACACACAAUGCUUUGGUGAAAUGACCGAGGGAAGGCCUGCGCCUUUCCUCUGGCAGAGCCGUCGCAUAAACUCUUUGGGGAGAGCUAUUCACACAACAAAGUUGUUUGUGGACUCCUCCCCACUCCCUCACCAGCACUUGACUGGUUGAGCGGAGUUUUCUUUCCCCCCACCCCCACAGUCCCAACCCACCCCCAGAGGGUGCCCACCAAGCCGUUGUCUUGCUGUUGGCGACGAGAUGGUAGGUUUAGGUGUGUCAUUCCACAUGCCUUGCCCUCGGGUGGUGAGCCGAUCCUCCGCGCCACCGUUGGCAUCACCCUGUCUUUUUUCGUGGUAUACUGCGUCGCCGUUGUACAUGGCUGCGUCGCCGUUACACAUGGCAGCGUGGCCCGUGGCCCAGCCGUUAGACCCAACACACUAGUUGGUUGUUGUUGUUGUGGAUCGUUGACAGAAAUGUUUUUGUUCUGUCGUCCCCACGCCUGAGCUUGAGUGCUGUCUGUCGUCAGUCAGCACGACUACUAUAAUGUAGGUACCAGUGAGUUACCGACCUGCCAGGACAGGCUUUUUUACCUCCUGUCCUUGGUUGGGAGCUUCAGCGUGAGGCGCCCCCCGCCCCUCCGCCCCCUCUUUUUUCCUUUUUUUUUUUCCAUUCAAGUUUUGAACAAUUCACACAGUUCUGAGACUACCAUUCAGAAUAUGUGGUGGGUUCCACGUGGAAAAAAGUCAUUUCUUCGAUUUUCCGAAACCUGCAUACAAUGUACUCUUUAAAGUGUGUAAUGUUUAGAAGCAGUUUUUUUAAUCAUGAUCUUGUUAGUGAAAUUAACCAUGGAAUUUUUUGUUUUGCUUGAGCAUCUGGUCAUAUUCACCUGUCAAAAUGGACCUUUUUUUGAUAUUUUUUAGUGUGAGCAAAUGUUGCAGGGUUGGAUAGAUUUGCAUGUUGCUUCUUAUUCUGGAAUCCGUCAAAGAAAGCUUAUUAUUAUACAUGUUAUCAGUCAUCUUGCACGGCUUGGAAUUACUUUUUUUUUUUUUUUUUUGCUUUGAAAUGUUUAAUUUUUUUUCAUAUUGUUAAGAACAUUGUAGCAUGGUGUAUGAAGUAUUUGGAAGAAUUCUCAUGCUUUUUAAGAAGGCAGACAUAUUUCUCGGAAUAAAAAAAAAAAAAUUCUUAAAGGAAAUUUUAAUUUGUCCAUGCUUUUUUGGGGGUUUGGAGGAAUCUAAAUUAUGAGGAUAGUGUAAGAAAAUAACGAAAACAUUGUCCUUUGUGACAUCGGACGGAGGUACAGUACUUCAUGUGAGGUGGUUCAGACGUUGUUCAGAUGGCCUGGUUAGGCCUGCUGCUGUUGUGGCAUGAGGUAGUCGUAGUCAGAAAGUUUUGUCAGAUUCAAAAGCGCUUGUCCCCAGGACAUUUUCUGUCUGUGAAAAGCUUUGUGCGUGCAUUUCAAAUGAUUUGAUCUUGUGUGUGAUUUUUAGUUUUUCUGUCCUCUAUAGUACAGUUUUGGUGUCAGAAUGAAAAUUUUUCUCUCCUGCCGAAGUGAGCAAAAUUUAGAAAAAUAUCUUCUGAAAUGCCUCGCAUGAGAUUUUUGUGCCUCCCUGAUAUAAACUGCUUUAUACACUAAGACAAACAAAUUCUUAUUUAUUGUUGCAUUUUGCUACGAAUUGUAUUUAAGCUCUGAAACGUAUAUCAAAUAAAGUGUUCUGAAGUCAGUAAAA